rnacentral:rRNA from 1 species
UGGGGAAUAUUGGACAAUGGGCGAAAGCCUGAUCCAGCCAUGCCGCGUGUGUGCAGAAGGUCUUCGGAUUGUAAAGCACUUUAAGUUGGGAGGAAGGGCAUUAACCUAAUACGUUAGUGUUUUGACGUUACCGACAGAAUAAGCACCGGCUAACUCUGUGCCAGCAGCCGCGGUAAUACAGAGGGUGCAAGCGUUAAUCGGAAUUACUGGGCGUAAAGCGCGCGUAGGUGGUUUGUUAAGUUGGAUGUGAAAUCCCCGGGCUCAACCUGGGAACUGCAUUCAAAACUGACUGACUAGAGUAUGGUAGAGGGUGGUGGAAUUUCCUGUGUAGCGGUGAAAUGCGUAGAUAUAGGAAGGAACACCAGUGGCGAAGGCGACCACCUGGACUAAUACUGACACUGAGGUGCGAAAGCGUGGGGAGCAAACA